GCUGAGCAGUGGCGAAGGGGUGAGUAAUAUAUCGGAACGUGCCCUGUCGUGGGGGAUAACUGCUCGAGGAGCUACUAAUACCGCAUACGACCUGAGGGUGAAAGCGGGGGAUCGCAAGACCUCACGCGAUUGGAUCGGGCGAUAUCAGAUUAGGUAGUUGGUGGGGUAAAGGCCCACCAAGCCAACGAUCUGUAGCUGGUCUGAGAGGAUGACCAGCCACACUGGGACUGAGACACGGCCCUGACUCCUACGGGAGGCUCAGUGGGGAAUUUUGGACAAUGAAUUUUGGCCUGAUCCAGCCAUGCCGCGUGCGGGAAGAAGGCCUUCGGGUUGUAAACCGCUUUUGUCGGGAAUAAAAGGUUCUGGUUAAUACCUGGGACUCAUGACGGUACCUGAUGAAUAAGCACCGGCUAACUACGUGCCAGCAGCCGCGGUAAUACGUAGGGUGCAAGCGUUAAUCGGAAUUACUGGUCGUAAAGCGUGCGCAGGCGGUUAUGCAAGACAGAGGUGAAAUCCCCGGGCUCAACCUGGGAACUGCCUUUGUGACUGCAUGGCUAGAGUACGGUAGAGGGGGAUGGAAUUCCGCGUGUAGCAGUGAAAUGCGUAGAUAUGCUGAGG
rnacentral:rRNA from 1 species